AUGGCCACCACGGCCAGCGCCCCGCUCAUGCCGGUGCCGGUUACCUCCGCCGCGCCCGUUCCCGUCGUCUUCACCCCGGAGGAGAUGACGGCUGCCAUCCGGGAUCUCACCCAGGCGGUCACGGGCAUCUACACGUUCCUCGCAAGAUCCUAUGGGCCGCAGCCGCCUGUGCCCUUCGCCACCGCCCCGCCGCCGCAGCAGCCGCCAUCCUCGGCGACCCCCAUCGCCGCCACCAUGCAACAGCUGUCGGUGGCAGCCGCCACCAGCGACGAACCCCAGCGCCUCCACCAUACAACGGGGGCAACAGCUGCAGCCGCCGCCACCGGCGACCGUGGCCCUGGGCAUCCCGAUGAUGGGCCCGGGGGUGCCCAUCCACCAGGUCCGGUUUCCCCCGUCGCUGUCUCCGUUACCGGCCUGGUUCGCUGGGUCCCUUGA
rnacentral:rRNA from 1 species